UCAAGGAAGAAAGGGCGUACGGAGAAUGCCUGGGCACAGAGAGGCGAUGAAGGACGCAGCGAACAGCGAAAUGCGGCGGCGAGCGGUAAGCACGCAAUGACCCGCCGAUAUCCGAAUGGGGAAACCCCUCCGCUUUCGAAGCGGAGACCGCAUGACGACCGUCAUGACGGGGCAAUACGCAGGGAACUGAAACAUCUAAGUACCUGCAGGAAGAGAAAGAGAAGUCGAUUCCGUAAGUAGCGGCGAGCGAAAGCGGAGGAGCCCAAACCGGACAUAGUCCGGGGUUGUAGGACCGCCGAGAAAGAUGACAUGAAGAGUCAGGAGAAUCCCAUGGGAAGGGGAUCCGCAGAGGGUGAGAGACCCGUAUCCGAAGGCUCGACAUGGAUCGAGGCGGCACCUGAGUACGGCGGGGCACGUGGAAUCCUGCCGGAAUCAUCGGGGACCAUCCCGAAAGGCUAAACACUACUCUGUGACCGAUAGCGAACCAGUACCGUGAGGGAAAGGUGAAAAGAACCCCGGGAGGGGAGUGAAAGAGAACCUGAAACCGUAUGUCUACAAGCAGUCGGAGCGAAAGCGACGGCGUGCCUAUUGAAGAAUGAACCAACGAGUUACGUGCACUAGCGAGGUUAAGUGGAAGACACGGAGCCGAAGCGAAAGCGAGUCUUAAGAGGGCGGAUAGUUAGUGUACGUAGACCCGAAACCGCAGUGAUCUACCCAUGUCCAGGUUGAAGCGCAGGUAAAAUUGCGUGGAGGACCGAACCUGUGAGCGUUGAAAAGCUUUAGGAUGAGAUGUGGGUAGAGGUGAAAUUCCAAUCGAACGCGGAGAUAGCUGGUUCUCCCCGAAAUAGCUUUAGGGCUAGCCUCAAGUAGUAAGUAUAGGCGGUAGAGCACUGAUCGGGCUAGGGGCCAUAAAGGUUACCGAACCCUGUCAAACUCCGAAUGGUUAUACUGUAGAGCUUGGGAGUCAGACUACGAGUGAUAAGAUCCGUGGUCAAAAGGGAAACAGCCCAGACCACCAGCUAAGGUCCCCAAUGUCGUACUAAGUGGAAAAGGAUGUGGGGUCUCUAAAACAACCAGGAUGUUGGCUUAGAAGCAGCCACCAUUUAAAGAGUGCGUAAUAGCUCACUGGUCGAGAGACCCUGCGCCGAAGAUUACCGGGGCUAAAGUACGAAACCGAAGCUGUGGCUACGACAUAUGUCGUGGGGUAGGGGAGCGUUCUGUGAGGGCUGAAGUCGUUCUGUAAGGAACGGUGGACUUCACAGAAGUGAGAAUGUUGGUAUGAGUAGCGAAAAGAAUGGUGAGAAUCCAUUCCACCGAAAGCAUAAGGAUUCCUGGGCAACGAUCGUCGUCCCAGGGUAAGUCGGGACCUAAUCCGAGGCAUGGAGCGUAGGAGAUGGACAACUGGCAGAUAUUCCAGUACCGGUAAUGAUUGUUUGAGCGAUGGAGUGACACAGGAGGGCAGGCAGGCAGGAGAUUGGUUGUUCCUGUACAAGCGUGUAGGGUGGAACGUAGGCAAAUCCGCGUUCUGAGAGCCUGAGGCGUGAUGUGGAGGUUCCGGAAACGGAACUGAAGCUGCUGACCCCACACUGUCGAGAAAAGCUUCUAGUUAGAGAAUUACCGCCCGUACCGUAAACCGACACAGGUAUGCGGGGAGAGAAUCCUAAGGUGCGCGGGAGAACCCUCGUUAAGGAACUCGGCAAAAUGUACCCGUAACUUCGGGAUAAGGGUAGCCGCUGUUGUGAAGUCUGAACAGACGGAGCAUGAGGCGGUCGCAGAGAAGAGGCCCAAGCGACUGUUUACCACAAACACAGGUGCCUGCUAAAGAGAAAUCUGACGUAUAGGUGCUGACACCUGCCCAGUGCCGGAAGGUUAAGGAAGGAUGUCCGGAGCAAUCCAAAGCAUUCGACCGAAGCCCCGGUGAACGGCGGCCGUAACUAUAACGGUCCUAAGGUAGCGAAAUUCCUUGUCGGGUAAG
rnacentral:rRNA from 1 species